rnacentral:piRNA from 1 species
UAGACGGCGUUUCCCGCUACGUUCUCGGGCC